UUUUCGAAAACCGUAUUGAGUUUUUGGCAGUAAGUCUUUAUUUUCUAUGUACCAUUCUAGCCGAUUUUUAAUAAGAUGCUCUGCUAUUUUCAUUAGAACCGGACUGAGAACGAUAGGACGAUAUGAUGAAAUAUCAGACGGAAUUUUACUAGGUUUGAGAAUUGGCAACACCACAUGACGUUUCCACAUCUGAGGAAUGUUUCCUGUUGUCAUUACGGAAUUGAUAAGAGAUAAAUAAUAAGAAUGAACAGUGGGACUAGCAUUAGAUAAAAAUGAGUAUGGGAUGCCAUCGAUACCUGGAGAUGAGUCUACAGUAUUAGAAAGGAUACCUUUCAAUUCCUCAAUAUUGAAAGGGAUUUUUAAUGACGUGUCAUCAGAGGUUAUAUUGGAUUCCACACGAAUUACCGGUUGUAAAGUAACUUCUUGAGGUACCCAGGGAGGAGCUAAUGUAUCUAUAAAUUCACCUGCUAAAUUAUCCGGGAUACGGGAAGUAGUGUGGUCCGAAAAUGCAGACCGGAAUCUCCUAAUAUUACGCCAAACAGCUGAAGGGGGUGUAUUCGGUGAAAUGACAGAGCAAAAAUUAUGCCAACUCUCUCUUUUCUUCAGUUUAUAGAGUUUUCGAGUCUGUGUAAUAAUACUAGAGAGCUGCAGCUGUGCAUUCCGAGUCCCACCACGGAGGCAUUGGGAUCUUCCUAAAUGAAUGAUUAAUUUUUACUGGGAAAGCAUCAUCUGCAGCGGAAACAAGAAUUUUAGCUAAUACUUCUGCACAAUCCUGCUCAUUUCCAUUAUUGACAAUUGGAAGAGAAGAUAGCUGAUUGUCAACAUAAUUUUUAUAAUUUAGCCAAGUGCUGCUCUUACUAUGUGGAAGUUUGUGUUUUAAGUGAGAUAUUCUAGGUUGUGAAUGUGGGAUUGGGAAUGGAAAAGAUAUUUUGAUAGGGAAAUGAUCACUACCAUAUGUUAAGGGAAGGGUGCACCAAGUGAGACGAGAAGCAAAGUUAGGAGUGCAGACAGAUAAAUCUAUUGCGCUAUUGUUCUGACUUGGAUCACUGCGACGUGUGGGGAACCAGAAUUUAAUAUACAUAAAUUAUGUGUAUCAAAUAUAUUGAGUAGUUCUUCCCCAUAGGAGUUAGAAGUUGAACUACCCCAUGACUGGUGAUGGCAGUUAAAAUCACCUAACAGUAUAUAAGGAUUAGUAAGUGUGGAAAGAAUACUGUUAAUUUCAUUAAGUGAAGAAUGAGAAGGGUGAGAUAUAUAUACAGAUAUAAUACAUGUUUUAUUUAUAAUUAUAGCUAUGAUUGAGAUUUCUUCACUGUGUGAUGGUAGAGAAACCACAGUGAAAGGAAUUGAAUCCUUCACAAGUAUAGCUACUCCACCAUAUCCAUCUGGUCUAUCCUCUCUUACUGUUGUAUAACCAUUAAUUUUAAAUAUAUUAUUUGAUUUGAA
rnacentral:lncRNA from 1 species